rnacentral:misc_RNA from 1 species
UACGGAGGGUGCAAGCGUUAAUCGGGAUUACUGGGCGUAAAGCGCACGUAGGCGGUUUGUUAAAUUGGAUGUGAAAGCCCCGGGCUUAACCUGGGAAUUGCAUCCAAGACUGGCAGGCUAGAGUACGGUAGAGGGUGGUGGAAUUUCCUGUGUAGCGGUGAAAUGCGUAGAUAUAGGAAGGAACACCAGUGGCGAAGGCGACCACCUGGACUGAUACUGACACUGAGGUGCGAAAGCGUGGGGAGCAAACAGG